rnacentral:rRNA from 2 species
CCGCNUGNNUGAAGAAGGGUUCGNUCGUAAACUCUGUUGUUAAGAAGAACAUAUCUGAGAGUNNUNUCNGUAUGACGGUAUUUAACCAGAAAGCCACGGCUACUACGUGCCAGCAGCCGCGGUAAUACGUAGGUGGCAAGCGUUGUCCGGGAUUUAUUGGGCGUAAAGCGAGCGCAGGCGGUUUUUUAAGUCUGAUGUGAAAGCUUUCGGCUCAACCGAAGAAGUGCAUCGGAAACUGGGAAACUUGAGUGCAGAAGAGGACAGUGGAACUCCAUGUGUAGCGGUGAAAUGCGUAGAUAUAUGGAAGAACACCAGUGGCGAAGGCGGCUGUCUGGUCUGUAACUGACGCUGAGGCUCGAAAGUAUGGGUAGCAAACAGGAUUAGAUACCCUGGUAGUCCAUACCGUAAACGAUGAAUGCUAAGUGUUGGAGGGUUUCCGCCCUUCAGUGCUGCAGCUAACGCAUUAAGCAUUCCGCCUGGGGAGUACGGCCGCAAGGCUGAAACUCAAAGGAAUUGACGGGGGCCCGCACAAGCGGUGGAGCAUGUGGUUUAAUUCGAAGCUACGCGAAGAACCUUACCAGGUCUUGACAUACUAUGCAAAUCUAAGAGAUUAGACGUUCCCUUCGGGGACAUGGAUACAGGUGGUGCAUGGUUGUCGUCAGCUCGUGUCGUGAGAUGUUGGGUUAAGUCCCGCAACGAGCGCAACCCUUAUUAUCAGUUGCCAGCAUUAAGUUGGGCACUCUGGUGAGACUGCCGGUGACAAACCGGAGGAAGGUGGGGAUGACGUCAAAUCAUCAUGCCCCUUAUGACCUGGGCUACACACGUGCUACAAUGGAUGGUACAACGAGUUGCGAACUCGCGAGAGUAAGCUAAUCUCUUAAAGCCAUUCUCAGUUCGGAUUGUAGGCUGCAACUCGCCUACAUGAAGUCGGAAUCGCUAGUAAUCGCGGAUCAGCAUGCCGCGGUGAAUACGUUCCCGGGCCUUGUACACACCGCCCGUCACACCAUGAGAGUUUGUAACACCCAAAGUCGGUGGGGUAACCUUUUAGGAACCAGCCGCCUAA